AUGGUUACUGUUGAAGGUAGGCUGAGUAUUCGAGUAUCCUGUUAUAUCCAGAGUCCCGCAGCUGUUUAAUGGAGCUGCAGGUCUCCAUAGGAUUAAGGAGAGUGGCUGUCCUGUUUGUGGUGGUAGUGUUUCCUCACCGAAUGCUGUGAUUUGCAGUGUGCAAGCGGAUUUUCUGCUGGUACAUGUGUGAGUGGGGUGUGAAGAUGGAGAACAAUUUGCUUUCUGCCUAGCCUGCCCUUUAGAUGUAAUGGCCUAAGGGAGUGUGAGGUAAAGACGAAUUUGCUUGGCAACCCUGAUCCAUGUAAAGGAACCUACAAGUACUACAACACCACUUAUGACUGCAUCCGUGGCCGUUCACUUUCAGGUUCAACUUCAACUUUUGGACAGGUGACCUCACAUUAUCUUCAAGCACUCUUUGAU
ensembl:lncRNA